AAAUACCGAAAGACCGGUGCUCCCGAAUGGCCUGGAAGUCCAGCGGUAUUCGUGCCGUCGAGUAGUCUAUUUCAGUUCCAGGCACUCGACGACAAAAUACCGCUGGGCUAACAAGGGAUCCAAGAUGGCCGACAGCCGCAUGGUCGGUAUCCGAACGGUGGCCACCCUGAACAUCUAUUAACUGCCGAAAGAUACAAUGUUGCGAUGCGUAAUGGGAGCCACACAACCUCCUGUACGUGUGGUCUCC